AACGAACGCUGGCGGCAGGCCUAACACAUGCAAGUCGAACGCCCCGCAAGGGGAGUGGCAGACGGGUGAGUAACGCGUGGGAACGUACCCUUUACUACGGAAUAACUCAGGGAAACUUGUGCUAAUACCGUAUGUGCCCUUCGGGGGAAAGAUUUAUCGGUAAAGGAUCGGCCCGCGUUGGAUUAGCUAGUUGGUGGGGUAAAGGCCUACCAAGGCGACGAUCCAUAGCUGGUCUGAGAGGAUGAUCAGCCACAUUGGGACUGAGACACGGCCCAAACUCCUACGGGAGGCAGCAGUGGGGAAUAUUGGACAAUGGGCGCAAGCCUGAUCCAGCCAUGCCGCGUGAGUGAUGAAGGCCCUAGGGUUGUAAAGCUCUUUCACCGGUGAAGAUAAUGACGGUAACCGGAGAAGAAGCCCCGGCUAACUUCGUGCCAGCAGCCGCCGCAG
rnacentral:rRNA from 1 species